rnacentral:rRNA from 1 species
UUUGAUGUACCAUGUUACUUGGAUAACUCGCGGUAAUUCUGGAGCUAAUACAUGCAACAAGCCCCGACUCACGGAGGGGCGCUUUUAUUAGAUCAAAACCAAACGGCUUCGGCUGUCUCGCUUGGUGACUCUGAAUAACUUUGGGCUGAUCGCAUGGCCUUGCGCCGGCGACAUUUCCGUCGAAGGUGUGCCCUAUCAACUGUCGACUGUGGCAUAGACGCCCACAGUGGUUUUGACGGGUAACGGGGAAUCAGGGUUCGAUUCCGGAAAGGGAGCCUUAAAAACGGCUACCACAUCUAAGGAAGGCAGCAGGCACGCAAAUUACCCAAUGACCGAAGGUCGAGGUAGUGACAAAAAAUAACGAUAGCGGACUCAUCCGAGGCCCGCUAAUUGGAAUGAGUACACUUUAAAACCGUCCCCGAGGAUCUAUUGAAGGGCAAGUCUGGA